rnacentral:rRNA from 1 species
AUUGAACGCUGGCGGAAUGCUUUACACAUGCAAGUCGAACGGUAGAGGGGGCAACCCCUCGAGAGUGGCGAACGGGUGAGUAAUAUAUCGGAACGUGCCCAGUCGUGGGGGAUAACGUAGCGAAAGUUACGCUAAUACCGCAUACGAUCUAAGGAUGAAAGUGGGGGACCGCAAGGCCUCAUGCUAUAGGAGCGGCCGAUGUCUGAUUAGCUAGUUGGUGGGGUAAAGGCCUACCAAGGCGACGAUCAGUAGCUGGUCUGAGAGGACGAUCAGCCACACUGGGACUGAGACACGGCCCAGACUCCUACGGGAGGCAGCAGUGGGGAAUUUUGGACAAUGGGCGAAAGCCUGAUCCAGCAAUGCCGCGUGUGUGAAGAAGGCCUUCGGGUUGUAAAGCACUUUUGUCCGGAAAGAAAUGGCUCUGGUUAAUACCUGGGGUCGAUGACGGUACCGGAAGAAUAAGGACCGGCUAACUACGUGCCAGCCGCCGCAGUAA